rnacentral:rRNA from 1 species
UACGUAGGGGGCAAGCGUUGUCCGGAUUUAUUGGGCGUAAAGAGCGUGUAGGCGGCCAGGUAGGUCUGCUGUGAAAUCUCUGAGCUUAACUCAGAACGGCCAAGUGAUACUGCAGUGCUAGAGUGUGGAAGGGGCAAUCGGAAUUCUUGGUGUAGCGGUGAAAUGCGUAGAUAUCAAGAGGAACACCUGAGGUGAAGACGGGUUGCUGGGCCAACACUGACGCUGAGGCGCGAAAGCCAGGGGAGCAAACGGG